ACUUGCUCCUUUCUUCCACUCAACUAAAUUUUGCUACUUGAUUUCGAUGUUAUAGGAUGUGAAAAGUAGGGAUUUUGUUGAUUUGUAAUGUUUCAGAUAAAAGAUGUGGCUUUUGGCCUUGUAAAUCCUCUUGGGUUCUUUGACAUGGGUUAUUGUUCUUACUAAGUAACUUCAUCUAUAGCUUGCAGUGGCUUUAAUCAGUUGAAUUUCAAAUUUCCUCCUAUCUUAAUUCCAACGAAUUCUGUUUUGGGACAUAGGAUACGGGCAUAUCUGUUUUGGGAGGCCACACUUCAUUGCAUAUCAUGAUACUGCUUACAAAUAAUGUCGCAGUCUAAUUUGUUUGAUUUAGACAAGACUAAUUAUGAAAAUUUCUUUUUCUAUGGACAAUGGGACUUGAUGCCAUGUUUAGGGAAAAAGGCCUAUUUGUUGGUGCUUGUUCGUAAAUGAUCUGUUGUUAUUGUUUUUUUUUCUUGUUUUUGUUCUUUUGCAAAUCUACUUAUGUUGGUUUACUAGUUGUUGUGUAUUAUAAGUGCUGGCUUCUUG
rnacentral:misc_RNA from 1 species